rnacentral:lncRNA from 1 species
CUCGGCCUCCCAAAGUGCUGGGAUUACAGGUGUGAGCCACCGCGCCCUGCUGAGAUCCUGCUAAUUUUAAAAUUCUUAUUCACAAACAAUAGCUACCAUUUAUUGAGUGUUUGUUUAAGGCACUGUGUUUAAGCGCUUCACUUCCAUGAUCCACUUUAAUCCUUAGUUAAUUUACAAUGCUUUCAGGAUAGUGUUUUCAUUUUGUAGUUGACGACAUUGAAAUUUAGAGAUUUUGAGGACAGAUCUGAUUCCAGAGUUUCUACUCUUAGCCACUGUGAGCUAUUGAUUCUAUGUAACUGCACACACUGAUUUCUGAGCACUUCUUGGGGCCUUUGGGCCAAGUCUUUCUGCUCUUUCUCUCUUAUCUGUCUCUUUCCGUCUUUGUCUCCCCACUCCUCUCUCUCUAUUUUUUUUUUCAGACAGAACCUCACUUUUUUGUUGUCAUUGUUAAGACAGAGUCCUGCUCUGUCGCCCAGGCUGGAAUGCAAUGAUACAAUCUCGGCUCACUGCAACUUCUGCCUCCAGGGUUCAAGCGAUUCUCCUGCCUCAGCCUCCCGAGUAGCUGGGACUACAGGUGUGCAUCAGCAUGCCCGGCUAAUUUUUGUAUUUUUAGUAGAGAUGGAGUUUCAACCAUGUUGGCCAGGCUGGUCUUGAACUCCUAGCUUCAGGUGAUCUGCCUGCCCAAGCCUCCCAAAGUUCAGGGAUUACAGGUGUGAAGCACCAUGCCCGGCGAGAACCUCACUUUGGAAUAGAGACCCCACAGAACCUCAGAGCUGGGAAAAUUUCCUUCCCAUCAAGCACCAAUUUUCCCUUGCCAUGGAGCACCACUGCUGGCUGAGUACUUUGAACUGAUGGAGUUUGGAUGACCUCAGAAGCAGCCUCAGAAGCAAGUUCUCUCUGACCUUCUCCUGCCCUCCUGCACCCCUUGUGCACCUCUUCUCCCAUGAGGAGCUGGCCGUAAAGAAAUUCUCUGACCAACUUUGUCUGAGAGUAGGUCCUAAGACCCUCAUUCCAGAGGGGUCGUGCCCCAUACCUAGAAAGAAGAAAUGCUGUGCAGAGAGGCCAAGAAGAAUCUGAACAGACAGGCCCUGCUGGGUCCCCAUCCCAUCACCUCGGUCCAUUACAGUUAAUCAGAACUUUCUGUCCAAUCGCAUUUCUAUACCACUGUCCAUUCCUCAUUGAGUCUAAGCAUAAAAAUGGACAGUUCUUCCUGAGCCUUUCGGUAUUCAUUUCUGAAGACUCACAUGUCACAUUAAACUUUGAUGAAAU